CGAACGCUGGCGGCAGGCUUAACACAUGCAAGUCGAACGAGAAGGUUCUUUCGGGAACUGGACAGUGGCGCACGGGUGAGUAACGCGUGGGAAUCUACCAUGGAGUGGGGGAUAACAGUUGGAAACGACUGCUAAUACCGCAUACGCCCUACGGGGGAAAGAUUUAUUGCUCUAUGAUGAGCCCGCGUUAGAUUAGGUAGUUGGUGGGGUAAUGGCCUACCAAGCCUACGAUCUAUAGCUGGUCUGAGAGGAUGAUCAGCCACACUGGGACUGAGACACGGCCCAGACUCCUACGGGAGGCAGCAGUGGGGAAUAUUGGACAAUGGGGGCAACCCUGAUCCAGCCAUGCCGCGUGAGUGAAGAAGGCCUUAGGGUUGUAAAACUCUUUCAACUGUGAGGAUGAUGACAGUAGCAGUAGAAGAAGCACCGGCUAACUUC
rnacentral:rRNA from 1 species